AGGGAGGGGACCCCCCACGCCACCACCGAGGCAGAAAGUUCCCCCUCACCCAACACUCCGGACUUGUCCUCGCCUCCUGCCAGGGAGCAGCGAGACGGAGGUGGCGGCGGAGAACCAGGGCAGGAAAAGGCGGGGGAAGGGGGCGGUGAUUAUCUCAACGCUCGGCCCAGGGGGAGGAGUGGAGCACCUCUCUCGGGCACCUGAGGUUCGGCGGCGAGAGGAGGGGAGUUACCGCAGGGUCUCCUGGCGCGGAGGGAACCGCCCCUUGUUGCCAAGGUGUCGUCUUGGACUUGGAGAAGGACACCUGAGGGACCUCUGCAAAUCAGAGAGGUGGCAGCGCUGGAGCCGGCGAGGCUGCUGUCUCUGCCUAAGGGGAGCCCAGAGUCCCCGUCCCCCGCUGCUCUCGGCUGCUGCCCGCCCGCGGCGCUGAGCGGAGACUUGGAAAGAGAUUUCCACUGGGAUGCCCCGCAGCUGCCGGGUUCCAAAGGGGAGAGGAGGAGACCGCGUCCACCAGGAAUGGGAAGGAUUCCUUGCCCCGCAGCUGCCGCCCCACCAAAUCUCUCCCACAUUCUAAGGACAGGAGGAUUCCUGAGACAGCUGCUCCCGACAGCGUGAAGGGGGGUUGACUGCCCCUAGAUGGGGGUGGGGGCCCUCUCGUGAUUUUCCAAUGUCAGAGUUGGGUUUUCCUCAUUCUCGGAAUAAUUUAAAAGGUGCAUUAUAUUAGGUUGAAGCCAGGAUAGAUCGUCAUACUCUAAGAGUGUCCUUCCCCUCCACCCUCACUGCUAAUGAUAAAGCAUCAGUGAAUAAUGAACAGAGGGAGGUAAAGUUUGGCCCUUAAGGUAUCAUACCCCUGAGGCCAUAAGACCUCUAAAAAAUAUGUUUAAAGUACUCCUAAACUCCUAAAGUGAAAGUGAAGCAAAAAGCAAAAGGAAGUACUCUGGAGGAGUGAGAAGAAAACUCAUAUUGGUUUGAGAGAUGAAAUAUUUGAGAGGGCCUUGAAAAAUAGACAACUCUCACAGGGAAAUUUGGUAGGAGAGACGCAACAGGAGAAAAGACUCAAACUUGCCUAGUACAUAGGCCUGUAAUCCCAGCGACUCUGGAGGCUGAGGCAGGAGGAUCACAAGUUCAAAGACAGCCUCAGCAACUUUGUCAGGCCCUAAGCAACUUGGUGAGACUAUAUAAAAAUAAAAAAAAAAAAUACAAAGGACUGGGGGUGUCUCAGUGGUUAAGUCCCCUAGGUUUGUAUGGCAGUAUGUAAAAAAGUGGAUGUGUAACCGAUGUGAUUCUGCAAUCUGUAUACCGGGUAAAAAUGGGAGUUCAUAACCCACUUGAAUCAAAUGUAUGAAAUAUGAUAUGUCAAGAACUAUGUAAUGUUUUGAACAACUAAUAAUAAAAAUUUUUUAAAAAUUGGCCAAUAUAUGAAAAUUU
rnacentral:lncRNA from 1 species